GACGAACGCUGGCGGCGUGCUUAACACAUGCAAGUCGAACGGAAAGGCCCUGCUUUUGUGGGGUGCUCGAGUGGCGAACGGGUGAGUAACACGUGAGUAACCUGCCCUUGACUUUGGGAUAACUUCAGGAAACUGGGGCUAAUACCGGAUAGGAGCUCCUGCUGCAUGGUGGGGGUUGGAAAGUUUCGGCGGUUGGGGAUGGACUCGCGGCUUAUCAGCUUGUUGGUGGGGUAGUGGUUUACCAAGGCUUUGACGGGUAGCCGGCCUGAGAGGGUGACCGGCCACAUUGGGACUGAGAUACGGCCCAGACUCCUACGGGAGGCAGCAGUGGGGAAUAUUGCACAAUGGGCGGAAGCCUGAUGCAGCAACGCCGCGUGCGGGAUGACGGCCUUCGGGUUGUAAACCGCUUUCGCCUGUGACGAAGCGUGAGUGACGGUAAUGGGUAAAGAAGCACCGGCUAACUACGUG
rnacentral:rRNA from 1 species